rnacentral:rRNA from 1 species
CCAGACUCCUACGGGAGGCAGCAGUGGGGAAUAUUGGACAAUGGGGGAAACCCUGAUCCAGCGACGCCGCGUGAGUGAAGAAGUAUUUCGGUACGUAAAGCUCUAUCAGCAGGAAAGAAAAUGACGGUACCUGACUAAGAAGCCCCGGCUAACUACGUGCCAGCAGCCGCGGUAAUACGUAGGGGGCAAGCGUUAUCCGGAUUUACUGGGUGUAAAGGGAGCGUAGACGGCAAGACAAGCCUGGAGUGAAAGGCGGGGGCCCAACCCCCGGACUGCUCUGGGAACUGUCUGGCUGGAGUGCAGGAGGGGUAAGUGGAAUUCCUAGUGUAGCGGUGAAAUGCGUAGAUAUUAGGAGGAACACCAGUGGCGAAGGCGGCUUACUGGACUGUAACUGACGUUGAGGCUCGAAGGCGUGGGGAGCAAACAGGAUUAGAUACCCCAGUAUA